rnacentral:rRNA from 1 species
GACGAACGCUGGCGGCGUGCCUAAUACAUGCAAGUAGAACGCUGAAGGAGGAGCUUGCUUCUCUGGAUGAGUUGCGAACGGGUGAGUAACGCGUAGGUAACCUGCCUGGUAGCGGGGGAUAACUAUUGGAAACGAUAGCUAAUACCGCAUAAUAGUAGAUGUUGCAUUACAUUUGCUUAAAAGUUGCAAUUUCAUCACUACCAGAUGGACCUGCGUUGUAUUAGCUAGUUGGGGGGGUAACGGCUCACCAAGGCGACGAUACAUAGCCGACCUGAGAGGGUGAGCGGCCACACUGGGACUGAGACACGGCCCAGACUCCUACGGGAGGCAGCAGGAGGGAAUCUUCGGCAAUGGACGGAAGUCUGACCGAGCAACGCCGCGUGAGUGAAGAAGGUUUUCGGAUCGUAAAGCUCUGUUGUAAGAGAAGAACGAGUGUGAGAGUGGAAAGUUCACACUGUGACGGUAUCUUACCAGAAAGGGACGGCUAACUACGUG